CUUGCUACUUUGCCGGCGAGCGGCGGACGGGUGAGUAAUGUCUGGGAAACUGCCUGAUGGAGGGGGAUAACUACUGGAAACGGUAGCUAAUACCGCAUGACCUCGCAAGAGCAAAGUGGGGGACCUUCGGGCCUCACGCCAUCGGAUGUGCCCAGAUGGGAUUAGCUAGUAGGUGGGGUAAUGGCUCACCUAGGCGACGAUCCCUAGCUGGUCUGAGAGGAUGACCAGCCACACUGGAACUGAGACACGGUCCAGACUCCUACGGGAGGCAGCAGUGGGGAAUAUUGCACAAUGGGCGCAAGCCUGAUGCAGCCAUGCCGCGUGUGUGAAGAAGGCCUUCGGGUUGUAAAGCACUUUCAGCGAGGAGGAAGGGUAUCGUGUUAAUAGCACGGUACAUUGACGUUACUCGCAGAAGAAGCACCGGCUAACUCCGUGCCAGCAGCCGCGGUAAUACGGAGGGUGCAAGCGUUAAUCGGAAUUACUGGGCGUAAAGCGCACGCAGGCGGUUUGUUAAGUCAGAUGUGAAAUCCCCGAGCUUAACUUGGGAACUGCAUUUGAAACUGGCAAGCUAGAGUCUUGUAGAGGGGGGUAGAAUUCCAGGUGUAGCGGUGAAAUGCGUAGAGAUCUGGAGGAAUACCGGUGGCGAAGGCGGCCCCCUGGACAAAGACUGACGCUCAGGUGCGAAAGCG
rnacentral:rRNA from 1 species